rnacentral:lncRNA from 1 species
AAUCACAUAUCCGUUACACAUUUUAUUGUAUUUACUAUAUUAUUAAUAAUGCAUGAAUUAUAUUUGUACCAUUAAAGUCUUUUAAAAUCUACAAUCUACCCCCAAAACAAUGAUGUCAAAUGCAUAUUGUGAAUUGAUAACAAAUAGUACAGGGUUGGAAUACACAUCCUGAGGUUCACAUUAUUCAGUUUCCUCAGGUUCAUGUUUGUCAUUUUUCGUUUCAUUUUCCAUUCUAUUAGCUUCAUGAAAUAUUUGAGUUCUAGUUUUCCUGUUUCACUGCAUUUGAAUUUCAAUCUUCAAACAUCGCAAAUGAACACGAUAUAAUUAUGCCGGUGUUUCAGAAUAGAUUUCGGAGAUCCAAAGGACUCAUUAGGUUCGUGGAUACUUGUUUGGUGAACAACAGGAUCUUUUGUCCACUGGACAUGGUGAUCUUCGGAGAGACGUUUAGAUGUAUGUUUCUCCUCAUGUUUAUGUUUAUCGGUUGAAUAUAUGUUUUUAUCAGUUGAACAUAAGUUACACAGUCCCAAUUCAAACAUAGAAUGCUGAUGUUUAGACCUACUAUUAUCCUUACACAUGCCGAGUGUUAAUACUACGAUGCAGAUGAAUGUACCAAUUCCAGUACUAAAAAAAGACGAAAUCGUAGUUCCUACGUUUCCUCCAAAACCUUGAUUGUUGAUAUUAGAUUAAACAAAAUAUUUACUAUUAUAAAGAACAAUCAAACACAGUGAGACCAAUGGAAAGUAUCAGAUAUCAUUUUCUUCACGCAAAACAAAUUUUGCAUUGUUUCUUGAAUGAACUAAUCUUCCCACCUCGUUCGAUUUUACAAAAAAUGUAUCGAACACAAACAUUUGUAGCUAUCCUGUGAUAUAACAUGGUACAUUAUUUGGUAACUUAAGUAUCAUAUUGUGUAAAUAAUUAUCUUUUUCAAUCAAUCAAUCGACACUUUUCGGGAUUGGCAAAUGCGAGCAGUAUUACUAGCUAGAUGUUAUACUAACGGAAACGAUAUGUUUACCAAGAGUUGUC